rnacentral:rRNA from 1 species
CAUGCAAGUCGAGGGGUAACAGGGAUUGCUUGCAAUCCGCUGACGACCGGCGCACGGGUGCGUAACGCGUAUGCAACCUACCUUCUACAGGGGGAUAGUCAAUAGAAAUGUUGAAUAAUACCCCAUACGAUCUUUGAAUAGCAUUAUUUAAAGAAGAAAGUUCCGGCGGUAGAAGAUGGGCAUGCGUCCUAUUAGUUAGUUGGAGAGGUAACGGCUCCCCAAGACAUCGAUAGGUAGGGGUCCUGAGAGGGAGACCCCCCACACUGGUACUGAGACACGGACCAGACUCCUACGGGAGGCAGCAGUGAGGAAUAUUGGACAAUGGAGGCAACUCUGAUCCAGCCAUGCCGCGUGCAGGAAGACUGCCCUAUGGGUUGUAAACUGCUUUUAUACAGGAAGAAAUGUACCUACGUGUAGGUAUUUGACGGUACUGUACGAGUAAGGAUCGGCUAACUCCGUGCCAGCAGCCGCGGUAAUACGGAGGAUCCAAGCGUUAUCCGGAAUCAUUGGGUUUAAAGGGUCCGUAGGCGGUCUUUUAAGUCAGAGGUGAAAUCCUACAGCUCAACUGUAGAAUUGCCUUUGAUACUGAAGGACUUGAGUUAUUGUGAAGUAGUUAGAAUGUGUGGUGUAGCGGUGAAAUGCAUAGAGAUCACACAGAAUACCGAUUGCGAAGGCAGAUUACUAACAAUAUACUGACGCUGAGGGACGAAAGCGUGGGUAGCGAACAGGAUUA